UUUCCUCAAAGUCUGGUUGCUUGAUUCAUUGUUGCUAGCAUCAGGCUUUGGUUGUCGAGGACCAGGGAGUAACAUGCCCUGAUCUUGUAAUUGGAUGGUACCAAUGAAAGUCAAUGUUCUGCUACAGUUUUAAAAUGUUCCCUUACACAAGCCCUAAAUCAGUCAGCGUUGUUUCUUAAUGAUAAUACUUACAAAAUCAGAGGAAUUCUUGUGUUAUUUCAUUAUUAUUAUUAUUAUUCCUCCAUUUUCCUUCACCCAGUACGAACAAAAAAAGGUAUUCUACCAAAGCGGUGGUGGACAACGUGACAAGGAAUUUGGAUGCCAGUCAGUGUAAUUACUUUACAUGACGCACAAGUUGUUUCUACAGAUUUGUUUUUGUACCUGGAGUGAUUUCUUUCACUGUUGAGCAGGUUCUGGUGUACAAUUCAUGGGUCAGGUCACGGAGCGAGUUAGCAAAACCUUGUCUCUGUGCGAUGGGCAAAAUGUCAUAAGUGAUCUAAAAGCAGAAAAAGAACAUUCAAAUACAAGUGUUGACCCACUUCUACAGUCCUUUGUGUGUUUUUAAUUCAAAAUGCAAUCCAAUAUUUCACUUUCUAUGC
rnacentral:lncRNA from 1 species